ACUAGUUGAAGGUAUAGGACCUAGAAGGUCCUAUACCAGUUAAGCGCCGCCAUUUUGCUUCUUAAUGCGCAUGCUUGAGCCCACUCACCCAGCUCCUGACCACUUAUCUGAAAGCAGCUGAUCACCAGUUUUAGGUGUUUUCUAUGUAUUGGGAGCCUGCCUUUCGCUGGCACUGGCUGUAACCAAUUAUUAUUUUAGAAACACAGUGUAACAACCACCUGACCUUCUCACCUGAUGGUUGCUGGGGGUGUUUCUUCUGCCCUGCUCAUGUCUGUCUGGCUACCUACUGUAACAAGAGGAGCCCUGCCCUGAAGACAGACCAAUACAGGGAAGAAGGGAUUGCCUCAGACCGGGAGGGCCUCUCUGCAAGACUCCUGACAAGUUGAUCUCAUUUUUCUUCCUCUGUAUCUGAGGAAUGGCCUAUCCAGGGACUGGCAAAAGGAGAAAAACAAGAUGCAGAGGAAUGAGACCGAGAAUAUCCCAGUGUGAACAGUUCCCCCAAAGUGCUUCAUUUCGGCUCCAGGCUGGAGUGCACCUCGUAGCUCGACGUGUGAUCAUGGCUCACUGCAGCCUCAAACUCCCGGGCUCAAGGGAUCCUCCCACCUCAGCCUCCUGAGUAUCUGGGACUACAG